AGAUGCCACAAACCUUGUCCGCAAUUGCAACCGAAGAUUUUUUGGAUGAACCGCAAAAUGAUCUGAUGAAGGCUUUCAGUUGUCCAGGCCAGGCCAGGUGACCAAUGACGAUGAUAGAUCGGGUUCGAUUCAAGCUAUACGCUUGGUGUAUUCGGUUAUCGUGUCUGGCGACUGAGUCUAACUCACGUCCAAAGCACGGUGGCUGGGUCCCAGGCAUGCUUGCCACUUUGUUCUGCGGUCCUCAUCUAAGUUUCGACGGUGAUGACAUGGACUUAGGUUCAAAGUACGUGUUCCCCUUGAGUCAUUGUGGUUGAUUGAUGGGGGAAAAUUAACGGUUGCGUGUCGCUAGUCAUUCAAUUGGUCCCCUUGUUUUAGAGUGUUGGCGGGAUAAGUCUUACGACUGUUAACAAUAGUAAGCAAUAGCUGGCCAGCGAUCCCCUACCUGAUCUCGAGGGGGAUGGAAUGACUGGGGUCAGAGGCCUGUUGUUAACCUGCGGAAUUUCGUCGGACGAAAUGUCAGGCGUGUCCGUGUGGGACUUGUGCUAAACCAGUUUAGUACAUAUGACGAAGACAUUGGGCUCUUUGAAUAACAACAGUGUUCUCAACCUCCUUGUGCCUCACAAAGCUAACAUAUAUACCCGCUGAAAUCGACAAGACGGCGAUGAAGAAGGAGAGCCGGCCUCCAGCUCGAGAGCCAAGAAGACACUGGAUGGACCCCAAGGUUGCUGCCAAUGUUGGUGCCAUACAGGGCAGCCCGAGCCAACAUUGUACAAGGGCCACAAGGACAAGGUACACAUUAGGACAAGGGACAGAAUGACAAGGGACACAAGGACAAGGGACACAAAAGCAAUGUUGCAGUCUACAGGCCGACUGCAGAUUGAGAUGAUGGCUGUCGAGAAGGCCCAACCACUUAACCAAGAUCUACAAUUCGUGCUAUGGUAGAUGUGACUCUCAAAGAUUUUGGAUGACAAAGGAAUCCAACGCAUAUAUGUCGCUCACAGAUACGGGCAGACGACUGAGAGUCGAGUGGAUUCAGUGGAUAGAAUGGUUGCGCUGAGGGAUAUCCAUGUGCAGGAGUGACAAACCACAGUUCAGCAAACGAUGCCUUGACAGACUAAUUCAAGGAGAAUCUUCGCUAAGAUGUGGAAGGGAAAGUGU